GCCUGGGUGGCUCAGUCGGUUGAGCGUCCGACUUCAGCUCAGGUCACGAUCUCACAGUUCAUGGGUUCGAGCCCCACGUCGGGCU
rnacentral:tRNA from 1 species